rnacentral:misc_RNA from 1 species
UUGUCCGCGGCAGGUGACUGU